AACAGGAUUAGAUACCCUGGUAGUCCACGCCCUAAACGAUGUCAACUGGUUGUUGGGAGGGUUUCUUCUCAGUAACGUAGCUAACGCGUGAAGUUGACCGCCUGGGGAGUACGGCCGCAAGGCUGAAACUCAAAGGAAUUGACGGGGACCCGCACAAGCGGUGGAUGAUGUGGUUUAAUUCGAUGCAACGCGAAAAACCUUACCUACCCUUGACAUGCCAGGAAUCUUGCAGAGAUGUGAGAGUGCUCGAAAGAGAACCUGGACACAGGUGCUGCAUGGCCGUCGUCAGCUCGUGUCGUGAGAUGUUGGGUUAAGUCCCGCAACGAGCGCAACCCUUGUCAUUAGUUGCUACGAAAGGGCACUCUAAUGAGACUGCCGGUGACAAACCGGAGGAAGGUGGGGAUGACGUCAGGUCAUCAUGGCCCUUAUGGGUAGGGCUACACACGUCAUACAAUGGCCGGGACAGAGGGCUGCCAACCCGCGAGGGGGAGCUAAUCCCAGAAACCCGGUCGUAGUCCGGAUCGCAGUCUGCAACUCGACUGCGUGAAGUCGGAAUCGCUAGUAAUCGCGGAUCAGCUUGCCGCGGUGAAUACGUUCCCGGGUCUUGUACACACCGCCCGUCACACCAUGGGAGCGGGUUCUGCCAGAAGUAGUUAGCCUAACCGCAAGGAGGGCGAUUACCACGGCAGGGUUUCGUGACUGGGGUGAAGUCGUAACAAGGUAACC
rnacentral:rRNA from 1 species